rnacentral:tRNA from 6 species
GGGGUCGUAGCUCAGUUGGUAGAGCACCACAAUGGCAUUGUGGGGGUCAGGGGUUCGAGUCCCCUCGGCUCCACCA